GAACGCAUAUUGCACUCCUUUGGGAGUAUGCCUGUUUGAGAAUCUAUAGUAACUUUUUUUUCUCGUAGUGAAUUUUUUACUAGAGAAAAAGAUUUGGCGAGUCUCUAGGAUAGAGUGCGCUUAAAGCUAUAGCUAGUCGCCGAAAGAGCGCCAAAGCAAAAAUGUUUGAAACUCUUUGAGUAACCUACACAAUGUUUUGGGGAAACGUUCCUAGGUAAUUAGCCCAAAAAGGAUUCUUUAUUGAAACCUAGGAGGUUAAUUAUUAACCCGAACCAUGGUCUCAAAUCAGGUAG
rnacentral:misc_RNA from 1 species